UACGAAGGGGGCUAGCGUUGCUCGGAAUACUGGGCGUAAAGGGCGCGUAGGCGGCACUGUUAGUCAGGCGUGAAAGUCCUGGGCUCAACCUGGGAACUGCGCUUGAUACGGCAGAGCUAGAGGAUGGAAGAGGCUCGCGGAAUUCCCAGUGUAGAGGUGAAAUUCGUAGAUAUUGGGAAGAACACCGGUGGCGAAGGCGGCGAGCUGGUCCAUUACUGACGCUGAGGCGCGACAGCGUGGGGAGCAAACAGG
rnacentral:rRNA from 1 species